ACGACGCUGGCGGCGUGCCUAACACAUGCAAGUCGAACGGAGUAAGACGCUGAAUGAUAGCUUCGGCAGGAUUUCUUGUCUUACUUAGUGGCGGACGGGUGAGUAACGCGUGAGCAACCUGCCCUUGAGUGGGGAAUAACGUUCUGAAAAGAACGCUAAUACCGCAUAACAUAUCGGUAUCGCAUGGUACUGAUAUCAAAGAUUUAUCGCUCAGGGAGGAGCUCGCGUCCUAUUAGUUAGUUGGCGGGGUAACGGCCCACCAAGGCGAUGACGGGUAGCCGGUCUGAGAGGAUGUCCGGCCACACUGGAACUGAGACACGGUCCAGACACCUACGGGUGGCAGCAGUCGAGAAUCAUUCACAAUGGGCGAAAGCCUGAUGGUGCGACGCCGCGUGGGGGAAGAAGGUCUUCGGAUUGUAAACCCCUGUCAUGUAGGAGCAAGACGCAAGUUUGAUAGUACUACAAGAGGAAGAGACGGCAAACUCUGUG
rnacentral:rRNA from 1 species